rnacentral:rRNA from 1 species
GGCCAGCAUCGAUUUGUGCGGCGGGAUAAGAGUUCUGGGAACGUGGCAUNUCUUCNGGGGGGUGUGUUAUACNCGGGGCCCAUACCGCCUGUGUAGAUCGAGGACUGCGUCUUUNUGACUAGGAUGCUGGCGUNAU